CUUCACCGACCCCAGCCACAACGGCCGCCCCUCCGGCCGGUCUCGUCCAUAGGUGGCGAGGAGUGCCUCAGCCUC
rfam:Streptomyces sp. CMAA 1322 contig16, whole genome shotgun sequence.